CUAGCCAAAGAGGAAUCGCCCCCUCCUUAAUGA
rnacentral:tRNA from 1 species